GAUGAACGCUGGCGGCGUGCCUAACACAUGCAAGUCGAGCGGAGAUCAUGGAGAGCUUGCUCAAAGUGAUUUUAGCGGCGGACGGGUGAGUAACGCGUGAGCAAUCUGUCCUACACAGGGGGAUAACAGCUGGAAACAGCUGCUAGUACCGCAUAAGACCACAGUACCGCAUGGCACAAGGGUCAAAGGUUUAUCGGUGUAGGGUGAGCUCGCGUCCCAUUAGAUAGUUGGCGGGGUAACGGCCCACCAAGUCGACGAUGGGUAGCCGACCUGAGAGGGUGAUCGGCCACACUGGGACUGAGACACGGCCCAG
rnacentral:rRNA from 1 species